CAGCAGCCGCGGUAAUACGUAGGUGGCAAGCGUUGUCCGGAAUUAUUGGGCGUAAAGCGCGCGCAGGCGGUUUGAUAAGUCUGAAGUUAAAGGCUGUGGCUCAACCAUAGUUCGCUUUGGAAACUGUUUAACUUGAGUGCAAGAGGGGAGAGUGGAACUCCAUGUGUAGCGGUGAAAUGCGUAGAUAUAUGGAGGAACACCGGUGGCGAAAGCGGCUCUCUGGCUUGUAACUGACGCUGAGGCUCGAAAGCGUGGGGAGCAAACAGGAUUAGAUACCCCCGUAGUCCCUGUCUCUUAUACA
rnacentral:rRNA from 1 species